GCCAGGUGUUGUGCCACACACCUGUAGUCCCAGCUACUCAGGAGGCUGAGGUCGGAGGAUUGCUUGAGCCCAGGAGUUCAAGGCUGCAGUGAGCCGUGACCCCACCACUGCACUCUAGCCUGGGUGACAGAGUGAGACCCUAUCUCUA
ensembl:misc_RNA Metazoa_SRP Metazoan signal recognition particle RNA